ensembl:snRNA U2 U2 spliceosomal RNA
AAACCUUGUCUGUUAAAAAAAAAAAAAAAAAAAUCUGUUCUUAUCAAUUUAAUAUCUGGUAUGUCCCCUAUCUGGGGACCAUAUAUUAAAUUGAUUUUCGGUACAGGGAGACGAAAUAGGGGCUUUCUUCAUUCACUCCACGCAUCAACCUGGUAUUGCAGUACUUCCAGGAGCGGUGCACUUUCU